rnacentral:rRNA from 1 species
CCUACGGGAGGCAGCAGUGAGGAAUAUUGGUCAAUGGCCGAGAGGCUGAACCAGCCAAGUCGCGUGAGGGAAGACGGCUCUACGGGUUGUAAGCCUCUUUUGUCGGGGAGCAAAGCGAGUCACGUGUGACCCAUUGAGAGUCCCCGAACAACAAGCAUCGGCUAACUCCGUGCCAGCAGCCGCGGUAAUACGGAGGAUGCGCUGGUUAUACGGGUUUAUUGGGUUGAAAGGGUGGGCGGGCGGAGGUGCCAGGCAGCGGUCAACUUGCGGGGCUCAACCCCGUACUGCCGUUGAAACUGCAUCCCUUGAGUGCGCGAGAAGUAUGCGGAAUGCGUGGUGUAGCGGUGAAAUGCAUAGAUAUCACGCAGAACACCGAUGGCGAAGGCAGCAUACCGGCGCGCAACUGACGCUCAUGCACGAAAGCGUGGGUAUCGAACAGGAUUAGAUACCCGAGUAGUC